UAUAUAAAGUAGUAGUAUUAUAGUUAUUUGUAGUCUGAAAAUUAUACUUUGUUUUGUAUUUUUGUAUUUAAUUUCUCCGUCAAUAUUAUUGCAUAAUGGAUUAUAUCUAACGAUUUGUAAAUCAGCGGUUCGAAUAAAGCAAGAUGAAUGUGCAGAAAUCGCAAAGUUUUUGUAGCAAAUUUCACAAUGAUCACUGCAUUGUUAAUGUGUGUUUACUGUAUUCGUGCUCAACCACAGGGGGCUCUUAUGUUGAAGGGUUGCAUUAUCUAAUAUCUAAUGUUGCUGCUAUCGAUUAUGCGAUGAAAGCACAGUGUUUAUUGGCUGCAACGAAUGGGACAAAACUUAUCUAACGAACAACUUGAAUCAUCUAUCAGAGAUGAGAGCACUUUGUCGCCCUCGAUGGUCAUUGCAGCAACAUAACAAGAUGAUGAGAUGA